rnacentral:rRNA from 1 species
UUUUAACAGGGGGAUAACACUGAGAAAUUGGUACUAAUACCCCAUAAUAUCAUAGAAGGCAUCUUUUAUGGUUGAAAAUUCCGAUGGUUAGAGAUGGGCAUGCGUUGUAUUAGCUAGUUGGUGGGGUAACGGCUCACCAAGGCGACGAUACAUAGGGGGACUGAGAGGUUAACCCCCCACACUGGUACUGAGACACGGACCAGACUCCUACGGGAGGCAGCAGUGAGGAAUAUUGGUCAAUGGACGCAAGUCUGAACCAGCCAUGCCGCGUGCAGGAUGACGGCUCUAUGAGUUGUAAACUGCUUUUGUACGAGGGUAAACGCAGAUACGUGUAUCUGUCUGAAAGUAUCGUACGAAUAAGGAUCGGCUAACUCCGUGCCAGCAGCCGCGGUAAUACGGAGGAUUCAAGCGUUAUCCGGAUUUAUUGGGUUUAAAGGGUGCGUAGGCGGUUUGAUAAGUUAGAGGUGAAAUUUCGGGGCUCAACCCUGAACGUGCCUCUAAUACUGUUGAGCUAGAGAGUAGUUGCGGUAGGCGGAAUGUAUGGUGUAGCGGUGAAAUGCUUAGAGAUCAUACAGAACACCGAUUGCGAAGGCAGCUUACCAAACUAUAUCUGACGUUGAGGCACGAAAGCGUGGGGAGCAAACAGGAUUAGAUACCCUGGUAGUCCACGCAGUAAACGAUGAUAACUCGUUGUCGGCGAUACACAGUCGGUGACUAAGCGAAAGCGAUAAGUUAUCCACCUGGGGAGUA